rfam:Alloactinosynnema sp. L-07 genome assembly, chromosome: I
GCCGGUCCUCGGUAGUGGUCUCCGGGACACGACACAGGGAGUGUCGAUCAAACCCCGAAGACUUCGAUCGAAGACCGGC